UACGGGGGGGGCAAGCGUUGUUCGGAAUUACUUGGCGUAAAGGGCUCGUAGGCGGCCAACUAAGUCAGACGUGAAAUCCCUCGGCUUAACCGGGGAACUGCGUCUGAUACUGGAUGGCUUGAGUGUGGGAGAGGGAUGCGGAAUUCCAGGUGUAGCGGUGAAAUGCGUAGAUAUCUGGAGGAACACCGGUGGCGAAGGCGGCAUCCUGGACCACAACUGACACUGAGGCGCGAAAGCUAGGGGAGCAAACAGG
rnacentral:rRNA from 1 species